rnacentral:rRNA from 1 species
UACGGGGGGGGCAAGCGUUGUUCGGAAUUACUGGGCGUAAAGGGCUCGUAGGCGGCCAACUAAGUCGGAUGUGAAAUCCCCAGGCUCAACUUGGGAACUGCAUCCGAUACUGGAUGGCUUGAAUUCGGGAGAGGGAUGCAGAAUUCCAGGUGUAGCGGUGAAAUGCGUAGAUAUCUGGAGGAAUACCAGUGGCGAAGGCGGCAUCCUGGACCGACAUUGACGCUGAGGAGCGAAAGCUAGGGGAGCAAACGGG